UCUCAUGGAUAAACAAGGAAAGUAGUUUCUUGAGAUGGAAUCUACUCCUAGUGAAAAUGCUGUGAA
rnacentral:pre_miRNA from 1 species